rnacentral:rRNA from 1 species
UACGUAGGGUGCGAGCGUUAAUCGGAAUUACUGGGCGUAAAGCGUGCGCAGGCGGUCGUUCAAGUCGAGUGUGAAAGCCCCCGGCUCAACUGGGGAGGGUCAUUCGAUACUGAUCGACUUGAAGGCAGGAGAGGGAAGCGGAAUUCCCGGUGUAGUGGUGAAAUGCGUAGAUAUCGGGAGGAACACCAGUGGCGAAGGCGGCUUCCUGGCCUGUUCUUGACGCUGAGGCGCGAAAGCUAGGGGAGCAAACGGG